CUGAAAUCAGGUGGGAU
rnacentral:rRNA from 1 species